AGACGCUGGAUAUUUUAGACAGGCUUCUCGCCCAUCUACCUGUUGAUGGACGGGACGAGAUGGUCCGUGACAAAGUGCACCAGACCCUCCUGCAACAAAGCACCCCCACAACAUGAUGCUGCCACUGCCGUGCUUCACGGUUGGGAUGGUGUCCUUCGGCUUGCAAGUCUUCCCCCUUUUCCUCCAAACAUAACGAUGGUCAUUAUGGCCAAACAGUUCUAUUUUUGUUUCAUCAGACCAGAGGACAUUUCUCCAAAAAGUAUGAUCUUUGUCCCCAUGUGCAGUUGCAAACCAUAGUCUGGCUUUUUUAUGGCGGUUUUGGAGCAGUGGCUUCUUCCUUGCUGAACGGCAAGGAAGAUAUGUCGAUAUAGGACUUGUUUUACUGUGGAUAUAGAUACUUUUGUACCAGUUUCCUCCAGCAUCUUCACAAGGUCCUUUGCUGCUGUUCUGGGAGUGAUUUGCACUGUUCACACCAAAGUACGUUCAUCUCUAGGAGACAGAACGCGUCUCCUUCCUGAGCGGUAUGACGGCUGUGUGGUCCCAUGGUGUUUAUACUUGCGUACUAUUGUUUGUACAGAUGAACAUGGUGCCUUCAGGUGUUUGGAAAUUGCUCCUAAGGAUGAACCAGAAUUGUGGAGGUCUACAAUUUCUUUUGAGGUCUUGGCUGAUUUAUUUAGAUUUUCCCAUGAGGUCAAGCAAAGAGGCACUGAGUUUGAAGGUAGACCUUGAAAUGCAUCCACAGGUACACCUCCAAUUGACUCAAAUGAUGUCAAUUGGCCCAUCAGAAGCUUUUAAAGCCAUGACAUCCUUUUCUGUAAUUUUCCAAGCUGUUUAAAGGCACAGUCAACUUAGUGUAUGUAAACUUCUGACCCACUGGAAUUGUGAUACAGACAAGUGAAAUUUUAAUUCACUGUGAACAAUUGUUGGAAAAAUUACGUGUCAUGCACAAAGUAGAUGUCCUAACCGACUUGCCAAAUCUAUAGUUUGUUAACAAGAAAUUUGUGGAGUGGUUGAAAAACUAGUUAAUGAGUCCAACCUAAGUGUAUGUAAACUGAC
rnacentral:lncRNA from 1 species